GUGCCAGCAGCCGCGGUAAUACAGAGGGUGCAAGCGUUGUUCGGAAUUAUUGGGCGUAAAGCGCGUGUAGGCGGCCCCGCAAGUCAGGUGUGAAAGCCCUCGGCUUAACCGAGGAAGUGCGCCUGAAACUACAGGGCUUGAGUACCGGAGAGGGUGGCGGAAUUCCCGGUGUAGAGGUGAAAUUCGUAGAUAUCGGGAGGAACACCAGUGGCGAAGGCGGCCACCUGGACGGCUACUGACGCUGAGACGCGAAAGCGUGGGGAGCAAACAGGAUUAGAAACCCUCGUAGUCC
rnacentral:rRNA from 1 species